rnacentral:rRNA from 1 species
GAUGAACGCUAGCGGCAGGCUUAAUACAUGCAAGUCGAACGGGAUCCAGGGUAGCAAUACUUUGGUGAGAGUGGCGCACGGGUGCGUAACGCGUAUGCAACCUACCUUUAACAGGUGAAUAGCCCCGAGAAAUCGGGAUUAAUACACCGUAACAUUGCGAUAUGGCAUCAUAAUGCAAUUAAAGAUUUAUCGGUUAAAGAUGGGCAUGCGUGACAUUAGCUAGUUGGUGAGGUAACGGCUCACCAAGGCAACGAUGUCUAGGGGUCCUGAGAGGGUUAUCCCCCACACUGGUACUGAGACACGGACCAGACUCCUACGGGAGGCAGCAGUAAGGAAUAUUGGUCAAUGGGCGCAAGCCUGAACAGCCAUGCCGCGUGCAGGAAGACGGCCCUAUGGGUUGUAAACUGCUUUUGUCAGGGAAUAAACCUUUGUACGCGUACAGAGCU